UGAGUUUGAUCCUAGCUCAGGAUAAACGCUAGCGGCGGGCUUAACACAUGCAAGUCGUGGGGCAGCAUUAAGUUCUACUUAGAUGGCGACCGGCGAACGGGUGAGUAACACGUACGUAAUCUACAUUUUGUUGAGGGAUAGCUUAGAGAAAUUUAAAUUAAUACCUCAUGAUAUGUUUUUUUCGCAUGAAGAUUACAUUAAAGCAUUUUUAUAAUGCGACAAAAUAUGAGCGUGCGCCUGAUUAGUUUGUUGGUGAGGUAAAUGCUUACCAAGACUAUGAUCAGUAGGGGACCUGAGAGGGUGUACCCCCACAUUGGCACUGAAACACGGGCCAAACUCCUACGGGAGGCAGCAGUGAGGAAUAUUGGUCAAUGGAGGAAACUCUGAACCAGCUACGCCGCGUGCAGGAUUACGGCUUUAACAAGUCUUAAACUGCUUUUGUAUAGGAAUAAAAAAUUCUUUUUAGAAUAUAUUGAAUGUACUAUACGAAUAAGCAUCGGCUAACUCCGUGCCAGCAGCCGCGGUAAUACGGGGGAUGCAAGCGUUAUCCGGAUUUAUUGGGUUUAUAGGGUGCGUAGGCGGUAUAAUAAGUCAAUAGUGAAAUCUUACAGCUUAACUGUAAAACUGCUACUGAUACUAUUAUGCUAGAGUUAGGCGGGAGUAAUCGGAAUAUGUGGUGUAGCGGUAAAAUGCUUAGAUAUCACAUAGAACACCAAUAGCGAAGGCAGAUUACUAUACCUUAACUGACGCUGAGGCACGAAAGCGUGGGGAGCAAACAGGAUUAGAUACCCUGGUAGUCCACGCUGUAAACUAUGAUCACUAAUUAUUGGGUCUUUAGUAUUCAGUGAUUUAGCGAAAGCGAUAAGUGAUCCACCUGGGGAGUACGGUCGCAAGACUGAAACUCAAAGGAAUUGACGGGGGCCCGCACAAGCGGUGGAGCACGUGGUUUAAUUCGAUGGUACGCGAGGAACCUUACCAAGGCUUUAAGGUACUUCGAAUAAUCUAGAAACAGGUUAGUCUUAGGACGGGGUACUAGGUGCUGCAUGGUUGUCGUCAGCUCGUGCCGUGAGGUGUAAGGUUAAGUCCUUUAACGAGCGCAACCCUUAUUGUUAGUUGCCAGCGAGUAAUGUCGGGAACUCUAACAAGACUGCCGAUGUAAAUCGUGAGGAAGGAGAGGAUGACGUCAAAUCAUCACGGCCUUUAUGUCUUGGGCCACACACGUGCUACAAUGGUUAGUACAAAAAGUUGCCACUGAGUGAUCAGGAGCUAAUCUUAUAAAACUAAUCUUAGUUCGGAUUGGAGUCUGCAACUCGACUCUAUGAAGUUGGAAUCGCUAGUAAUCGCGUAUCAGCCAUGACGCGGUGAAUAUGUUCUCGGGCCUUGUACACACCGCCCGUCAAGCCAUGGAAGUUGGGGGUAUCUGAAGUCAGAUGAUGUUUUUCAUUAUCUGCCUAAGAUAAAUUCGAUAACUGGGGCUAAGUCGUAACAAGGUAGCCGUAUCGGAAGGUGCGGCUG
rnacentral:rRNA from 1 species